GUCUUUUCCAACUGGGCUGAUUCUGUGAUUCUCUGAUUCCCAUUCCUAUGGCAGCACAUGCUUGAGGCUCUAUCCCCAGGGUGAUAGAGAUGUCUGUCCAUAUCUAUCUCCAAGGUUCCUGUCCUUGAGCCCAGGCCCUGAGGUGAGGCUGAGAAUAAGUGCAAGGCAGAGGUACUGCUGAGGAAGGACAACCCUGUGAAUGCCCAGGAGAAGCUGUGAGUGCCCAUCCCCAAGCAGGUGCUGUGUCCAUCCCCUGUGUGCCAGGACACUCCCCCCGAAAUCUUUGGGGGGGCCUUUUGUGUCUAUUCCUGGUUGCUGAUUCCUGCUGGGGACCUGAGGGAGCCUCUGCAAUCCCAUCCAUGUGGCACAAUCUCCUCUCCAGAGCUUGACUCCCUGCAGACUUUGCAGGGAAAUCUGUGCUGGCAGCCCGAGUAUGUCCUGACCCCCCACGCUCCCCCCAGGAUAUUUGGGAUGAGUUCCCCCUUCCCAGGCACCCGCGGGAUGGGGGUGCGAUUGUUCUCCUGCUGUUGCUGCUCCGCCCCUGUCCCUGCCCUUCCUGCUGCUGCCAGGUGAG